rnacentral:misc_RNA from 1 species
GAUGAAGAACGUAGUGAAAUGCGAUAAGUAAUGUGAAUUGCAGAAUUCAGUGAAUCAUCGAAUCUUUGAACGCACAUUGCGCCCCUUGGUAUUCCUUGGGGCAUGCCUGUUCGAGCGUCACUACAAACCCGCUCAUACAUAUUAUAUGGUAUUGAUGGAAGUGGACCGUGGUUACUAAUAAUGUAUCUGGAUCACCCCAUUGAAAUGUAUAGGCAGGACAGUAAACCUCUGCAAUGGACUUAGUAACUGUUGUGAAAACAUAGACCAGUCCUUUGCCUGGUUCCAGCCUGGCCUCCAUGGACCUCUAUCCAAGAUGAACUCUGGGUUGACCUCGGAUCAGGUAGGGAUACCCGCUGAACUUAAGCAUAUCAAUAAGCGGAGGA